rnacentral:lncRNA from 12 species
GCAAGAUGCAGGAUGUCAGUGUGACUACUCUCUGUUCCACAGCAUAUUCACUGGCAUUAGAGAAUGUCAUGAAGCUGGCAACCUCUGCUUCCAAGAUUUAUCAUCGUACCACAGAUGUUAUGAGCCACCUAACAAGCACUUGGCAUGACUCUCUUUGCUCCAGAU